rnacentral:SRP_RNA from 1 species
GCCGGGCAUGACGGCGCAUGCCUAUAAUCCCAGCUACUCGGGAGGCUGAGGCAGGAGGAUCGCCUGAACACAAGAGGCAGAGGUUGCGGUGGGCCGAGGUUGCGCCACUGCAAAAAAAAAAAAAAGUAACUUUUUUUUUUUGAGACAGAGUCUCACUCUGUUGCCCAGGCUGGAGAGCAGUGGCAUAAUCUCGGCUCACCGCAACCUCUGCCUCUUGUGUUCAGGCGAUUCUCCUGCCUCAG